AUCUACAGCCAUACCACCCUGAACGUGCCCAAUCUUGUCUGAUCUUGGAAGCUUAGCAGGGUCGGGCCCCUUUAGUGCUUGGAUGGGAGACCGCCUGGGACCAGGUGCUGUAGCCU
ensembl:rRNA 5S_rRNA 5S ribosomal RNA